rnacentral:rRNA from 1 species
AUUGAACGCUGGCGGCAGGCUUAACACAUGCAAGUCGAGCGGGGUGAUGGUGCUUGCACUAUCACUUAGCGGCGGACGGGUGAGUAAUGCUUAGGAAUCUGCCUAUUAGUGGGGGACAACAUCUCGAAAGGGAUGCUAAUACCGCAUACGUCCUACGGGAGAAAGCAGGGGGUCACUUGUGACCUUGCGCUAAUAGAUGAGCCUAAGUCGGAUUAGCUAGUUGGUGGGGUAAAGGCCUACCAAGGCGACGAUCUGUAGCGGGUCUGAGAGGAUGAUCCGCCACACUGGGACUGAGACACGGCCCAGACUCCUGCGGGAGGCAGCAGUGGGGAAUAUUGGACAAUGGGGGGAACCCUGAUCCAGCCAUGCCGCGUGUGUGAAGGAGGCCUUAUGGUUGUAAAGCACUUUAAGCGAGGAGGAGGCUCUUUUGGUUAAUACCCAAGAUGAGUGGACGUUACUCGCAGAAUAAGCACCGGCUAACUCUGUGCCAGCCGCCGCAGUAA